UCUCUCUCUCUCUCUCUCUCUCUCUCUCUCCCCUUCGUUGUUUAUCUCACUUCGGCCUCGUCAACCAAACUCCAUUUCCGUUUGCUUCAAAUGAACUCCGUUGCAGCUUCAAGGAGGUUGUCGGUCUAGGGUUUCGGUAAUCAUUGUCUAUCUUCAAGGUUUCUGGCAACCUGCAAUUAAGAAAGACUCAGAUACUUCUUCUAUAGCAUCGAGCUACUCUACCUUCACUCUUUCGAUUUGGGUGUCUCUGCUUUGGGAACAAAAGAUGCAGAUCAGGCCUCCACCAGAAGACUUUUUGUUGAAGGAGACCAAUCCCCAUCUUGGAGGGGGAAAGGUCACCGGCGACAAGUACACAAGCACCUAUGACCUCGUUGAACAGAUGCAGUAUCUCUAUGUGCGCGUUGUUAAGGCCAAGGAUUUGCCUGCAAAAGAUGUCAGCGGUAGUUGCGACCCCUACGUGGAGGUAAAGCUUGGAAAUUACAAGGGAACAACCCGGCAUUUUGAGAAGAAGUCAAAUCCCGAGUGGAACCAGGUGUUUGCUUUCUCCAAAGACCGGCUGCAGUCUUCGGUGCUUGAGGUUACAGUGAAGGAUAAGGAUUUUGUGAAGGAUGAUUUUAUGGGUCGGGUUUUGUUUGAUCUGAAUGAGGUUCCGAGACGGGUUCCCCAGAUAGCCCACUGGCACCUCAGUGGUAUAGAUUGGAGGAUAGGAAGGGGGACAAGGUUAAGGGGGAGCUGAUGUUGGCUGUUUGGAUGGGUACACAAGCUGAUGAAGCGUUUCCUGAAGCAUGGAAUUCAGAUGCAGCGGGAGUUAGUGGAACUGAUGGUCUUGCUAAUAUGCGUUCGAAGGUAUACCUCUCUCCUAAGCUUUGGUAUUUGAGGGUCAAUGUCAUUGAAGCCAGGACUUGCAACCGAGUGAUAAGGGUAGGUUCCCAGAAGUGUAUGUGAAGGCUAUGCUAGGAAAUCAGGUUUCGAGAACCAGAAUUUCUCAAAUCAGGACUAUUAAUCCUAUGUGGAAUGAGGAUUUAAUGUUUGUAGCAUCUGAACCAUUUGAGGACCACUUGAUGUUGAGUGUAGAAGACAGAGUUGCACCUAACAAGGAUGAAGUUUUGGGGAAGUGUGCAAUUUCCUUGGUGUAUGUUGAUAGGAGGUUGGAUCAUAAACCAGUGAACACUAGGUGGUAUAAUCUGGAAAAGCAUGUUAUUGUUGAUGGGGAACAGAAGAAAAAAGAAACCAAAUUUUCCAGCAGGAUUCAUAUGCGGAUCUGCUUGGAAGGUGGUUAUCAUGUACUGGAUGAAUCAACACACUAUAGUAGUGACCUUCGACCGACAGCAAAGCAGUUGUGGAGGCCCAGCAUUGGGGUACUUGAACUUGGGAUUCUAAAUGCUCAGGGUCUGAUGCCAAUGAAGACUAAAGAUGGGCGUGGAACAACCGACGCCUACUGUGUUGCAAAAUAUGGUCAAAAGUGGGUUAGAACUAGGACGAUUAUCGAUAGCUUUACACCCAAGUGGAAUGAGCAAUAUACUUGGGAGGUAUUUGAUCCUUGUACGGUCAUAACAAUUGGGGUGUUUGAUAACUGUCAUUUGCAUGGAGGAGAUAAGGCUGGAGGGGCUAAGGAUUCCAGGAUUGGGAAGGUAAGGAUUCGUCUCUCCACACUUGAAACCGAUCGGGUUUAUACACACUCAUAUCCACUUUUGGUUCUACACCCCAAUGGCGUGAAGAAGAUGGGUGAGAUUCAUUUGGCUGUGAGGUUCAAUUGCUCCUCUUUACUUAACAUGAUGCACAUGUACUCACAUCCACUUUUGCCUAAAAUGCACUAUAUUCAUCCAUUAACUGUUAGUCAACUUGAUAGCUUGAGGCACCAGGCAACUCAAAUUGUAUCGAUAAGGUUGAGCCGGGCUGAACCACCGCUGAGGAAAGAGGUGGUGGAGUAUAUGUUGGAUGUGGGCUCCCACAUGUGGAGUAUGAGAAGGAGCAAAGCAAACUUUUUCAGGAUCAUGGGAGUUUUGGGUGGGUUAAUUGCUGUAGGAAAAUGGUUUGAUCAGAUUUGCCACUGGAAAAACCCCAUCACAACUGUAUUGAUUCACAUCUUGUUUAUCAUACUGGUUAUGUACCCUGAGCUCAUCUUACCUACAAUUUUCCUCUACCUUUUCUUGAUUGGGGUUUGGCAUUAUAGAUUGAGGCCAAGACAUCCUCCUCACAUGGACACUCGCCUUUCUCAUGCUGAUUCUGCGCAUCCUGAUGAACUUGAUGAAGAAUUUGAUACUUUUCCAACUUCGCGGCCUUCCGACAUGGUAAGGAUGCGGUAUGAUCGGUUGAGGAGUAUUGCUGGGAGGAUUCAGACAGUGGUUGGUGACUUGGCAACUCAAGGGGAGAGGCUGCAAUCUCUGCUGAGCUGGCGAGAUCCAAGAGCAACAGCUCUGUUUGUAAUUUUUUGUCUGGUUGCUGCUAUUGUACUCUAUGUUACACCAUUCCAAGUUGUGGCCCUUCUCACAGGCUUUUAUAUAUUGAGACAUCCAAGGUUCCGGCAUAGGCUUCCUUCGGUACCCUUGAAUUUCUUCAGGAGGUUGCCAGCCAGAACAGACUGCAUGUUAUGAGCGAAGUAGUUUCAUCUCCAGUUGCUUUUAAGUGGAAUUGCGCUGAGUUCCCCUCUUUCUUGUCAAGUCAUUGGAGAAAAGGUGGAAACAAAGGGGAGAUUGUCUGUGCUUUCAAUGUUUGGCGGCUGUUGUUGGGUUGUGUGUGUAACCUUCCUCUGAAGGUAGUAGAUUUUGUGGACUUGCGGCUUAACCGAUGCCAUUUUUAGUAUUCCUGUUUGAAGCUUGACUUUGUGGUAAUCAGUUAUUGUUCGUCUAUAAUUUUGUAGGUUGUGAAUUAGGCUAUGCUGAACCAUCUCUAUGCUUAUGAAUAUUUGCUAGAUUUUUGCU